rnacentral:lncRNA from 1 species
GUGCAAUGGCGCCAUCUCAGCUCACUGCAACCUCCCCCUCCCGGGUUCACGCCAUUCUCCUGCCUCAGCCUCCCGAGUAGCUGGGACUACAGGUGCCCACCACCGCGCCCGGCUAAAUUUUUGUAUUUUUAGUAGAGACGGGGUUUCACCGUGGGCUCGAUCUCCUGACCUUGUGAUCCACCCGCCUUGGCAUCCCAAAGUGCUGGGAUUACAGGCGU